rnacentral:rRNA from 1 species
AGUUGGUGAGGUAAUGGCUUACCAAGGCUUCGAUGGGUAGCUGGUCUGAGAGGAUGAUCAGCCACACUGGGACUGAGACACGGCCCAGACUCCUACGGGAGGCAGCAGUAGGGAAUAUUGCACAAUGGAGGAAACUCUGAUGCAGCGACACAGCGUGAGUGAUGAAGGCCUUCGGGUUGUAAAGCUCUGUUCUCAGGGAAAAAGAAAGUGAUUGUACCUGAGGAGAAAGGACCGGCUAACUUCGUGCCAGCAGCCGCGGUAAGACGAGGGGUCCUAGCGUUGCUCGGAAUUAUUGGGCGUAAAGCGGGUGUAGGUGGCUUUGUAAGUCAGAAGUGAAAGCCCCGGGCUCAACCCGGGAAGUGCUUUUGAUACUGCUUAGCUUGAGUGUGGGAGAGGAUAGUAGAAUUCCUGGUGUAGUGGUGAAAUACGUAGAUAUCAGGAGGAAUACCGGUGGCGAAGGCGGCUAUCUGGCCCAACACUGACACUCAGACCCGAAAGCGUGGGGAUCAAACAGGAUUAGAUACCCUGGUAGUCCACGCCGUAAACGAUGGAUACUUGUUGUUGGUGGUAUUGACCCCAUCAGUGACGAAGCAAACGCGUUAAGUAUCCCGCCUGGGAAGUACGGCCGCAAGGUUAAAACUCAAAGAAAUUGACGGGGGCCCGCACAAGCGGUGGAGCAUGUGGUUUAAUUCGAUACCACGCGAGGAACCUUACCUAGGUUUGACAUCUGGUGGAAGGGUCACAGAAAUGUGCCCGCCUUCGGGCCGCCAGACAGGUGCUGCAUGGCUGUCGUCAGCUCGUGUCGUGAGAUGUUGGGUUAAGUCCCGCAACGAGCGCAACCCUUGUGUUUAGUUGCCAGCAUUCAGUUGGGCACUCUAAACAGACUGCCGACGUUAAGUCGGAGGAAGGUGGGGAUGACGUCAAGUCCUCAUGGCCUUUAUAUCUAGGGCUACACACGUGCUACAAUGGUCGGUACAAAGGGCUGCCAAGUCGCAAGACGGAGCCAAUCCCAUAAAGCCGAUCUAAGUUCAGAUUGAGGUCUGCAACUCGACCUCAUGAAGGUGGAAUCGCUAGUAAUCGCGGAUCAGAACGCCGCGGUGAAUACGUUCCCGGGCCUUGUACACACCGCCCGUCACACCAUGAAAGUUGGUUUUACCAGAAGUCACUGUGCUAACCGUAAGGAGGCAGGUGCCCAAGGUAUGGCCGAUGAUUGGGGUGAAGUCGUAACAAGGUAGCCGUAGGGGAACCUGCGGCUG